CGGGGGGUGCGAGCGUUGUCCGGAAUCACUGGGCGUAAAGGGCGCGUAGGUGGUCUGAUAAGGGUGUGGUGAAAGCCCGGGGCUCAACCCCGGGUCGGCCGUGCCGACUGUUAGACUAGAGUGCUGUAGAGGCAGGUGGAAUUCCGGGUGUAGCGGUGGAAUGCGUAGAGAUCCGGAAGAACACCGGUGGCGAAGGCGGCCUGCUGGGCAGUAGCUGACGCUGAUGCGCGACAGCGUGGGGAGCAAACAGGAUUAGAUACCCUGGUAGUCCACGCCGUAAACGAUGGGUACUAGGUGCUUGGGGGAGCGACCCCCUGAGUGCCGGCGCUAACGCAUUAAGUACCCCGCCUGGGGAGUACGGCCGCAAGGCUG
rnacentral:rRNA from 1 species